UCUAUUCUAUUCUAUUCUAUUCUAUAAUGCUAUACUAAAACUAUACUAAAGAAUAGAGAAAGGAUUCAGACAGAAGGCUAAAAGAUAAUAAUGAAAACUCGUGACUCUCUCUAGAGCCUCAACACAACUGGAUCUUGAUUGGUCAUUAAAUUAAAACAAUUCACACGAAACCAAUCAAUGACCAGUUGGUAAACAAUGUCCAAACCACAUUCCAAAGCAGCAAAACACAGGAGAAGCUAAUCAGAUAAUUAUUGUUUUCAUUUUUCUCUGAGGUUUCUCAGCUUCCCAGGAGAAGAAAUCCUGGCAAAGGGAUUUUUCAGAAAAUAUGGCAGUGUCACAAUCUGCUGUGGCUCUUGGCUGUCAGAAAUUCUCAGCUGGUUCCUAUCUUCUGCUGUAUUACCCAGUAUGGAGGGACUUCUGCUGAGGAUGUGCCAGUGUCACAGCUUCCAGUCAGGAGCACUCAGCUGACUGCUGCCCCACAGCAGCUGCACUGGGACCCCUUUGCUCUCCUGCCACAGCUGAUCCUGCUCCACUGCUGUGCUCCAAGGCACUGGAAUUUGCUCAGACUCCACCAGGAUGAAGAAGGAGGUGUUAGGCAGAGGAGAAGACAUGGACAUGUGUCUGCUCAGCCAUUUGCUGCUCUACAGUGUCAAGUGCGCUCCAUGAAUGUGCUCUACCUCUGCCAAAACACCAGUUUGUAUUUCCACAGCAUUCCUGGAGCCAUAAAAGUGUCAUUCCACACCUCCUCAGGUGUUAAAGCUUAUUUAAAAACUCCUUCAACCCCUAUGGCAUUUUAUAGCUCUUGCUCUAGAGACCUGAAGUUGACUGGACAUAAGCAGGUGAAUCCUUAUUUUGGGAUGUUCACAGCUGAGCUCCUUGAAUUUGAAGGGAUUCUGCACUGAGAGCUUGGUCUCCUGUUAUGGAAACAAGGCCUAUAGUUAUACCCAGCCUUUUCUUAGUUCUGUACUUACAGUUCCUCAGAGUUAAUUUCAGGUUUUUAGUGCUCCUAAGCUCCCUUUGACCUCUCUUUGGCCCAAAAAUGCAUAGCUUUGUUCUUUAGUCUUACCUAUAAAUAAAAACAUUUUUUCUCUUAA